UACGGAGGGGGCUAGCGUUGUUCGGAAUUACUGGGCGUAAAGCGUGCGCAGGCGGUUUUGUAAGACAGGCGUGAAAUCCCCGGGCUCAACCUGGGAAUUGCGCUUGUGACUGCAAAGCUGGAGUGCGGCAGAGGGGGAUGGAAUUCCGCGUGUAGCAGUGAAAUGCGUAGAUAUGCGGAGGAACACCGAUGGCGAAGGCAAUCCCCUGGGCCUGCACUGACGCUCAUGCACGAAAGCGUGGGGAGCAAACAGG
rnacentral:rRNA from 1 species